UACAGAGGUCCCAAGCGUUGUUCGGAUUCAUUGGGCGUAAAGGGUGCGUAGGCGGCGCGGGAAGUCGGGUGUGAAAUCUCGGAGCUUAACUCCGAAACUGCAUUCGAUACUGCCGUGCUUGAGGACUGGAGAGGAGACUGGAAUUUACGGUGUAGCGGUGAAAUGCGUAGAUAUCGUAAGGAAGACCAGUGGCGAAGGCGGGUCGCUGGGCCUUACCUGACGCUGAGGAGCGAAAGCGUGGGGAGCGAACAGG
rnacentral:rRNA from 1 species